GAAGAAAGUUAGUAACAAGCAACAGAUUCCAGUUAUCAAUGACGUCAACUAUGGUACUGGCUUGAGGAGGUCUAUCCCGCCGGAGCUAACUCCUUAUACACCAAAGCUGAUACAGGAUGACAUAGGACAUGCUGAUGCUGGCUCUUCAGCAAGUUCCAACUCUGCAUGUCCUGAUACCAGCUCCUGAAUCAAGAACUCAUGCUCAUGCAUGAAGCAGCCCGCGCAGCGAAUAAUUCUCAAUCUCAUGUUUAUUAAGAUGACUUUGG